rnacentral:rRNA from 1 species
ACAGCAGCAGCCGCGGGAAAACAGAGGGUGCGAGCGUUAAUCGGAUUUACUGGGCGUAAAGCGUGCGUAGGCGGCUUCUUAAGUCGGAUGUGAAAUCCCUGAGCUUAACUUAGGAAUUGCAUUCGAUACUGGGAAGCUAGAGUAUGGGAGAGGAUGGUAGAAUUCCAGGUGUAGCGGUGAAAUGCGUAGAGAUCUGGAGGAAUACCGAUGGCGAAGGCAGCCAUCUGGCCUAAUACUGACGCUGAGGUACGAAAGCAUGGGGAGCAAACAGGAUUAGAUACCCGGGUAGUCCCUGUCUCUUAUAC